UUUCCCAAUUAGUAAGACCCCUUGUAGACGACGAGGUUGAUAGGUUCGAGGUGGAAGUGCAGCAAUGCAUGCAGCUGACGAAUACUAAUCGGUCGAGGGCUUAACCAAA
rnacentral:rRNA from 1 species